AUUGAACGCUGGCGGCAUGCUUUACACAUGCAAGUCGAACGGUAACAGGGAGCUUGCUCCGCUGACGAGUGGCGAACGGGUGAGUAAUGCGUCGGAACGUGCCGAGUAGUGGGGGAUAACGCAUCGAAAGGUGUGCUAAUACCGCAUACGUACUGAGGUAGAAAGUGGGGGACCUUCGGGCCUCACGCUAUUGGAGCGGCCGAUGUCAGAUUAGGUAGUUGGUGGGGUAAAGGCUCACCAAGCCGACGAUCUGUAGCUGGUCUGAGAGGACGACCAGCCACACUGGGACUAAGACACGGCCCAGACUCCUACGGGAGGCAGCAGUGGGGAAUUUUGGACAAUGGGCGCAAGCCUGAUCCAGCAAUGCCGCGUGCAGGAAGAAGGCCUUCGGGUUGUAAGCUGCUUUUGUACGGAACGAAAAGGCUCUGGUUAAUACCUGGGGCUCAUGACGGUACCGUAAGAAUAAGCACCGGCUAACAACGUGCCAGCCGCCGCCGUAAUAC
rnacentral:rRNA from 1 species